rnacentral:rRNA from 1 species
GACGAACGCUGGCGGCGUGCCUAAUACAUGCAAGUCGAGCGCAGGAAGCCGUCUGAACCCUUCGGGGGGACGACGGUGGAAUGAGCGGCGGACGGGUGAGUAACACGUAAAGAACCUGCCCAUAGGUCUGGGAUAACCACGAGAAAUCGGGGCUAAUACCGGAUGUGUCAUCGGACCGCAUGGUCCGCUGAUGAAAGGCGCUUCGGCGUCGCCCAUGGGUGGCUUUGCGGUGCAUUAGCUAGUUGGUGGGGUAACGGCCCACCAAGGCGACGAUGCAUAGCCGACCUGAGAGGGUGAUCGGCCACACUGGGACUGAGACACGGCCCAGACUCCUACGGGAGGCAGCAGUAGGGAAUCUUCCACAAUGGACGAAAGUCUGAUGGAGCAACGCCGCGUGAACGAUGAAGGCUUUCGGGUCGUAAAGUUCUGUUGUAAGGGAAGAACAAGUGCCGCAGGCAAUGGCGGCACCUUGACGGUACCUUGCGAGAAAGCCACGGCUAACUACGUGCCAGCCGCCGCAGUAACAC